CUACUGUUUACAUCUUUUUUUUUUUUUCAGCAAUCAGUAUUUAUCUAGGGAAACUAGAGUAGGAAAGUAGCAGAGACAAAAAGAGGCUUAUUUGAGAGGGAAGAGAGAAAGGGGAGGCACUGUAACCUUGCCUUCUCUGAUCAUUAACCUUGCUGGAUAUGCAGCAAACACUUCACUCUGAACUGAGUUACUUGGAAGGCUGAUUCCCUGGGAGACUGUACCAGACCUGAUCUAAUAGUUGCCUAUCUCUGAAGAGCAAUAUGGAUUUUCAGAAAUUAUUGUAUGCCUUAUUUUUCAUUCUGAUGAGUCUACUGCUGAUUAAUGGCCAGAAACCAGCCAACCUCGCACAGCGCCGGAGGAUACACAGACACAACUGCUUCCUCAAGAGGUGCAUACCACUACAUUCAAGAGUUCCAUUUCCAUGAGAACCUAUUUACCAAAGACCCUUAUUCAAGUGGAGUGGGAGAGACUCCAGAUCAGUUCCAUAUUAAGACCACUGAGGAAUCUCAUCAUGAUGUAACAUAGGAUCUGACUCAAAUCUACAGAAAUAAUAUUUAUUUUGAACAGUGUUUAAGUUGUUCUUUGACUUAUAAGUGGAUGUUUCUUAAAUGAGCUGCCCACAAGAAUGGGCACAGACAAGCUCCAACCCAUGUAAUUGGCUGUUAAACUGGCACAGGAGUUGCCGAAAGCAAUGUCCCUCCAUUAAAUUGAUCCAGGAGACAUCUACAGCAACCUGUGACCUAUAUUCCACCAAAACAGACAAGAGAGCAUAUUCUCCAUCACAUUCCAAGGAAGUGAAUGUACAAAGGCUUGCAUUUAUUAUCAAAAUGAAAUGAAGCAUAUCAUAAUAAGGCUCAAUGUCCUGUACCUCAAAAGCUGUGCUUGUUCAUGACACUGUGGUGCACCAAACUACUUGACUCAGAUUUAAAAGAAGGGGAUAAAAUGAAGAAAGACAGAAGAUGGUUUUUGGACAAUCUGGUCAUAUUUCAAAAUAUUGCCCCGUGUGCAAAAAAAGAGAGGACGUUGAUAUAGUACAAUGAAAGGGUGUAAUAUCUAUUGUUUUAUAUGCUCUCCUAACAGUGCAUGGAAAUCUGUUGUAAUAUUUCUAAAGGUCUCAGCAAUCACUCAUUGUUAAUGAACUAAAAUUACCAGCAUAAACUUUCAGUAGACUCUUGGAGCUGUAGUUUCACAUCAUCUUAUGUUAUUGAUUGCUUUAUCAGGUUGUUGUCCCAUAUCAAGCUUUUUUCUAAAGGGCCAUGCGUAAUAAUUAACAUAACAGUUACAAGGUCUCAGCAUGUGAUGUUUCUGUAUCUGUCUGGGGCAAUUCAUAUGUUAAUUCAUGUGAGAAGAAGGUAGUGAGCUGUAAUAUAUAGAGACAGAAGAGGAGAUCUGCAUUCAACCAUAUUAAUGUAUUAAGGGCAGAGACACACGCUGCAAUUCUGGGAUAUUAGUCAUCCGGCGACAAAUGUCUCUCGAACUGCUUUCCCGCCGGCUAGAAUGAAAAUCGCUGGCGGGAUGGCACUCGGAGUACUUCAUUUUCCGAAAUUUCCUUUCGUGCGACUUCGGAAAACGAAUCGCUCAGAGUGCCAUCCCGCUGACGAUUUUCAUUCUUAGCUGGGAAGGUAGGGGAAGCAGAGAUUAGUCUCCCAGAAGAAGAGGCGGGCGACUAAUCUCCCUGAGAUUAGUGUGUCUGCCCUAAAGGACAUUAAAACAUUUUGUACAGAAAGCUACUAAGAAAAUGCUCUCCCCUUUAAACAAAACUGGGAUUUAGUCCCUGCUGUAUACUUCAACAUGUUUAGUGGUGUGCACAACUUUCCCCUUGCUAUAAGACUAAUGGCACACAGGUCAUUUUCUCCACUAUUACAAAAAAACUUGAUCCACUGACUUCCGCUCCCUGUAUGUGAGUGUACUAACAGGCAUGGGAUAAACCAGUCAGCACACACACAUGCAAAUUCUGUUUUAGCCAGUUAAUUUAAUGUUUAAAUGGAAAAUGCUUCAUUUAAUAGAAUGUGCCCCCUAUUUUUUCCACUUAGGCAUGUUUCUGUUGCAAAAGGGAUCCAGUAUUAAGAUAUUAUAUAUGUUAAAGUACCAUGGGUGUUUACUCUCCUUAUAUUUACAUUUCUUAUCUAUACUGUGCUCUGAUUUUAUUUAGUUUAUGCAGCAGCACAAAAUAGACAAAAAGUGGCCAUGGGUUUGGUGUAUAUUGCCAGGCAAUUUGGCACGUUUCAACCAAUAUUACUUCUGUAGGUCUUAAGGCGGCCAUAGACGCACAGAUAAUAUCGUACAAAACGAAUUUUCGUAUGAUAUCCAGUGCGUGUAUGGUGGGAAAAGAGCCGAAUUUUGAUUGGGUGCCUUUGAAGGCACCCAAACAUCGGCCAUUGUUAGUGUUGAAUCUUCAGAUACAGGUUGAAUUCUAUUGUUCCUACCUGUAUAUCUGACGAUUCAGCUCUUCAUGUGCAUAUGCAAAUUAGGAUUCGGUUCGGCCGGGCAGAAGAAUUCGGCUGAAUCCGAAUCCUGAUGAAAAAGGCCGAAUCCGGCCCGAAUCCCGAACCAAAUCCUGGAUUCGGUGCAUCCCUAGUGAUAGCUGUUAAUAUGUCCAGCCUGAGAAUCCUGUCUGCUAGGACAGUGGAUGGAGUCAUACCCCCAGAUGAACUUAUUCACCUGAUGGAUAAGUGCAAUUUGAAUACUCACAUGUAAAUCCAAAUCAUAGAGUACCAUGAAAUUAGGCCCAGGUGUAACCACCUUAUGCUACCCAGCUGGGCUGUGUUUCAUGUAGUCUAAUGCCUACUUUUAAAGUAAACCAAUAGUACCUGCAUUCUUCUAGAACAAGCAAGUGGUGCUAUUAAUGUGUUGACUUGGGCAACCACACUCAAUAAUGAUAAAAACCAGGGCCAUGUAAAUCAAACAGAAAACAAUGUUUGGUUAAUUCAGUAACCAUUGUGAGUAAUAAAAUUAAAUUCAUUAAAGUAGAAUAAAUGCCACUUGAAAAUAAAUGAAGCCACACUGGGCAGUUUCCAGAUACAAAUAAAACCAUUUUAACUAUUUUCCAGUCACACUGUUUGAUUCACAAACACAAUUUAACUACAACUUUUUUUUUCAGACAUAUGACAAUAUGACAAACUUCCCUUCUCCUUGUUUGUUCUAAGUGGGGAAACUAAAGCUCUCAAUGAUAUUUGAAUUUUACUGAGAAAUUUGUAAAUACACAUAAGCAAAAUACAGUGUUCUGCAUGUUCUACAGUGACUUUAUUCUGUGUAAAUCUCCAUGGUAGGUUGUAUUUGUAAUUAUAUUACUGUCUAUAUAGUACCUGUAUGUCUAUUUCUUUAAGGGGAACAUGCACUUCAGAUAUAUUUUUGUGUAAUUGCAAUAAACGCUAUGUAUCUUUUUUUAUGAUCCA